GGAUUAUGAAAUAGGUUUGUGAAUUGAUCACAAUCUAAAUUUCAGCAUAUAUCAAUUUCAGCACAUGAACUAGAUCCUUGUGAUUUUAUAUUUUUAUGCAUGCAUGAUUUAGAUUAAAAAUAUUUUAAUCUUAUAUUCUAUUGUGGUAUUUAGAAAAUAAAAUUUUAAAACAUACAUGCAUGUCCCAAACUUUGAAUUCCAA
rnacentral:lncRNA from 1 species